CCUACGGGAGGCAGCAGUGGGGAAUAUUGCACAAUGGGGGAAACCCUGAUGCAGCGACGCCGCGUGAAGGAAGAAGUAUUUCGGUAUGUAAACUUCUAUCAGCAGGGAAGAAAAUGACGGUACCUGACUAAGAAGCCCCGGCUAACUACGUGCCAGCAGCCGCGGUAAUACGUAGGGGGCAAGCGUUAUCCGGAUUUACUGGGUGUAAAGGGAGCGUAGGCGGGUUAGCAAGUCAGAAGUGAAAGCCCGGGGCUCAACUCUGGGACUGCUUUUGAAACUGUUGAACUAGAGUGCAGGAGAGGUAAGUGGAAUUCCUGGUGUAGCGGUGAAAUGCGUAGAUAUGAGGAGGAACACCAGUGGCGAAGGCGGCUUACUGGACCGUAAAUGACGCUGAGGCUCGAAAGCGUGGGGAGCAAACAGGAUUAGAUACCCGAGUAGUC
rnacentral:rRNA from 1 species